AUGCAUGAGGACGGACGAAAAGAGCAGAGGGUAGCGACCGGCCAGUUCCACGGCGGCGGCGCCGCGAACAAAAAUCAAAAAGUUUUUCAAAAUCUAAAAAAGAAGUUUCAAGAAUCUUUGAGUCCCAACCACAAAUAUCAACACAUAAAUAUGAAAUUAAGAUUCUGGGCGGUUGAGGAGUUUCCGGUGAAGGUUCGCAAAAUCCGAUCAAAAUCGUUGCAAUGGGCAUGUAUUGAAAGCUUGACAAAGAAAGCAAGCCGAGGCAUAGAAAUUUAG